rnacentral:sRNA from 1 species
AAAAUAACCUCUAUUUAACUUUAACUGAAACUGUGCUUCUCCCCACAGCCCCUUGUUCAUAUAUGCACAUCUCUUGCCCUCAGUGGAGGGGAUUUGACGGUGGUGUUCGCAUUUCUCUAUGUUCCUGACUCUCUUGCAGAUCAUUGCUGAAGGUGCCAAUGGGCCAACAACUCCAGAAGCUGACAAGAUCUUCCUGGAGAGAAACAUUAUGGUUAUUCCAGAUCUCUACUUGAAUGCUGGAGGAGUGACAGUAUCUUACUUUGAGUGGCUGAAGAAUCUAAAUCAUGUCAGCUAUGGCCGUUUGACCUUCAAAUAUGAAAGGGAUUCUAACUACCACUUGCUCAUGUCUGUUCAAGAGAGUUUAGAAAGAAAAUUUGGAAAGCAUGGUGGAACUAUUCCCAUUGUACCC